CCAGCAGCGGUGGCGCUGAGAGCUCGUCUGUGAUUGGGCGCCUGCCGCAGUUCUCAGAGUAACAGGCACGGUGAUUGGAGGAGAGCUGAGGCGGCUGUUGUCUCGGCAACCGGGUGUCCGCAUUCCCGGUGCCGCCGACGGCCGGGAAUGCACCGACAGGAACGGGCACGUACCGGCAGGUACGGGCGGAUACAGAGCGCGCACCGCCCCUGAGCGGGUUCAGGGAUCUCCCCGGUGCUCCUCAGCCGCUCAGGUCAUCCCAACAUGGAUUCCCUCACCAAGGGAAUAACAUCUUCCUUCCAGCCAAGGACUUCCCACCUAACAAGGAACAAGGAAUUUACUCCAGAUUUAUUCCAGAGUCUGCAGCCUCAGCCACACAAACCUACCAGGGAAGCAAAGAAAGCUCCUUCCAGACAUUGUCUCCAUGAGAACAACAGGACAAUCAGGGAGCAGCUCAUAUUGGAGUGACUCUGACAGGGACAGAAAUGUGUCCAUGUUUCUGCAGCCCUGAGUCCCUUCCAGGACAAGGUUUAACUCAUGUUCUGACUCUCAGGGCAUCAGGGAGACACUGAGCUGUGUUAUCCUGCCCCUGGGGUACCCAACAGCCCUGACAUUCCCAAAGGAGCAGAGCAGCUGAUGGAUGGGAAGUACACACUGCUGCAUCCUCACCUGUUUGCAGAGUUGGGAACAGCGGGAGGGAGCACCUGGAAUGCAAAGGAAAUGGAUCUGUGAGUUUGCACAGCAUCACUGUGUGCUAGAGAG